UACGGAGGGUGCAAGCGUUAUCCGGAAUCACUGGGUUUAAAGGGUGCGUAGGCGGUCAUGUAAGUCAGGGGUGAAAGCCCGGCGCUUAACGUCGGAAUUGCCUUUGAUACUGCGUGACUUGAAUCAGGUUGAGGUGGGCGGAAUGUGACAUGUAGCGGUGAAAUGCAUAGAUAUGUCAUAGAACACCAAUUGCGAAGGCAGCUCACUGGCCCUGAAUUGACGCUGAGGCACGAAAGCGUGGGGAUCAAACAGG
rnacentral:rRNA from 1 species